rnacentral:rRNA from 1 species
AGAGUUUGAUCAUGGCUCAGAUUGAACGCUGGCGGCAUGCCUUACACAUGCAAGUCGAACGGCAGCACGGGAGCUUGCUCCUGGUGGCGAGUGGCGAACGGGUGAGUAAUAUAUCGGAACGUACCCUAGAGUGGGGGAUAACGCAGCGAAAGUUGCGCUAAUACCGCAUACGAUCUACGGAUGAAAGUGGGGGAUCGCAAGACCUCAUGCUCAUGGAGCGGCCGAUAUCUGAUUAGCUAGUUGGUAGGGUAAAAGCCUACCAAGGCUUCGAUCAGUAGCUGGUCUGAGAGGACGACCAGCCACACUGGAACUGAGACACGGUCCAGACUCCUACGGGAGGCAGCAGUGGGGAAUUUUGGACAAUGGGCGCAAGCCUGAUCCAGCAAUGCCGCGUGAGUGAAGAAGGCCUUCGGGUUGUAAAGCUCUUUUGUCAGGGAAGAAACGGUGGACUCUAAUACAGAUCACUAAUGACGGUACCUGAAGAAUAAGCACCGGCUAACUACGUGCCAGCAGCCGCGGUAAUACGUAGGGUGCAAGCGUUAAUCGGAAUUACUGGGCGUAAAGCGUGCGCAGGCGGUUGUGCAAGACAGAUGUGAAAUCCCCGGGCUCAACCUGGGAAUUGCAUUUGUGACUGCACGGCUAGAGUGUGUCAGAGGGGGGUAGAAUUCCACGUGUAGCAGUGUAAUGCGCAGAGAUGUGGAGGAAUACCGAUGGCGAAGGCAGCCCCCUGGGAUAACACUGACGCUCAUGCACGAAAGCGUGGGGAGCAAACAGGAUUAGAUACCCUGGUAGUCCACGCCCUAAACGAUGUCUACUAGUUGUUGGGUCUUAAUUGACUUAGUAACGCAGCUAACGCGUGAAGUAGACCGCCUGGGGAGUACGGUCGCAAGAUUAAAACUCAAAGGAAUUGACGGGGACCCGCACAAGCGGUGGAUGAUGUGGAUUAAUUCGAUGCAACGCGAAAAACCUUACCUACCCUUGACAUGUACGGAAUCCCUGAGAGAUUAGGGAGUGCUCGAAGGAGAGCCGUAACACAGGUGCUGCAUGGCUGUCGUCAGCUCGUGUCGUGAGAUGUUGGGUUAAGUCCCGCAACGAGCGCAACCCUUGUCAUUAGUUGCUACUAAAGGGCACUCUAAUGAGACUGCCGGUGACAAACCGGAGGAAGGUGGGAUGACGUCAAGUCCUCAUGGCCCUUAUGGGUAGGGCUUCACACGUCAUAUAAUGGUACAUACAGAGGGCCGCCAACCCGCGAGGGGGAGCUAAUCCCAGAAAGUGUAUCGUAGUCCGGAUUGUAGUCUGCAACUCGACUACAUGAAGUUGGAAUCGCUAGUAAUCGCGGAUCAGCAUGUCGCGGUGAAUACGUUCCCGGGUCUUGUACACACCGCCCGUCACACCAUGGGAGCGGGUUUCACCAGAAGUAGGUAGCCUAACCGUAAGGAGGGCGCUUACCACGGUGGGAUUCGUGACUGGGGUGAAGUCGUAACAAGGUA